GACAGAGGGUGCAAACGUUGCUCGGAAUUACUGGGCGUAAAGCGCGUGUAGGCGGGCCAACAAGUCGGACGUGAAAUCCCUGAGCUCAACUCAGGAACUGCAUCCGAAACUGUUGGCCUGGAGUGGUGGAGAGGGAAGCAGAAUUCCUGGUGUAGAGGUGAAAUUCGUAGAUAUCGGGAGGAACACCGGUGGCGAAGGCGGUUCUCUGGGCCUGUACUGAUGCUGAGGAGCGAAAGCGUGGGGAGCGAACAGG
rnacentral:rRNA from 1 species